GCAGCGGUGGUGUAGUUGGUUAUCACGUCAGUCUAACACACUGAAGGUCCCGAGUUCAAGUCUCGGCCGCUGUA